rnacentral:rRNA from 1 species
AGAGUUUGAUCAUGGCUCAGAUUGAACGCUGGCGGCGUGCCUAACACAUGCAAGUCGAGCGGUAACAGGUGUAGCAAUACAUGCUGACGAGCGGCGAACGGGUGAGUAAUGCAUUGGAAUCUUCCCAGUAGUGGGGAAUAACCAGUCGAAAGAUUGGCUAAUACCGCAUACGUCUGUAAAGGGAAAGCGGGGGCUCGUAAGACCUCGCGCUAUUGGAUGAGCCAAUGUCGGAUUAGCUAGUUGGUGGGGUAAUGGCCUACCAAGGCGACAAUCCGUAGCUGGUCUGAGAGGACGACCAGCCACACCGGAACUGAGACACGGUCCGGACUCCUACGGGAGGCAGCAGUGGGGAAUAUUGGACAAUGGGGGAAACCCUGAUCCAGCGACGCCGCGUGUGUGAAGAAGGCCUGCGGGUUGUAAAGCACUUUUAGUGGGGACAAAAAGCUACGGACUAAUAUUCUGUGGUCUUGAUUUAACCCAAAGAAAAAGCACCGGCUAACUCUGUGCCAGCAGCCGCGGUAAUACAGAGGGUGCGAGCGUUAAUCGGAAUUACUGGGCGUAAAGCGCGCGUAGACGGUUUUGUAAGUCAGAUGUGAAAUCCCUGGGCUCAACCUGGGAACUGCAUUUGAUACUGCAUGGCUAGAGUAUCGAAGAGGGAAGUAGAAUUUCCGGUGUAGCGGUGAAAUGCGUAGAUAUCGGAAGGAACACCAGUGGCGAAAGCGACUUCCUGGUCAAAUACUGACGUUCAUGUGCGAAAGCGUGGGGAGCAAACAGGAUUAGAUACCCUAGUAGUCC